AGGAUAGGUGGGAGGCUUUGAAGUGUGGACGCCAGUCUGCAUGGAGCCGACCUUGAAAUACCACCCUUUAAUGUUUGAUGUUCUAACGUUGACCCGUAAUCCGGGUUGCGGACAGUGUCUGGUGGGUAGUUUGACUGGGGCGGUCUCCUCCUAAAGAGUAACGGAGGAGCACGAAGGUUGGCUAAUCCUGGUCGGACAUCAGGAGGUUAGUGCAAUGGCAUAAGCCAGCUUGACUGCGAGCGUGACGGCGCGAGCAGGUGCGAAAGCAGGUCAUAGUGAUCCGGUGGUUCUGAAUGGAAGGGCCAUCGCUCAACGGAUAAAAGGUACUCCGGGGAUAACAGGCUGAUACCGCCCAAGAGUUCAUAUCGACGGCGGUGUUUGGCACCUCGAUGUCGGCUCAUCACAUCCUGGGGCUGAAGUAGGUCCCAAGGGUAUGGCUGUUCGCCAUUUAAAGUGGUACGCGAGCUGGGUUUAGAACGUCGUGAGACAGUUCGGUCCCUAUCUGCCGUGGGCGCUGGAGAACUGAGGGGGGCUGCUCCUAGUACGAGAGGACCGGAGUGGACGCAUCACUGGUGUUCGGGUUGUCAUGCCAAUGGCACUGCCCGGUAGCUAAAUGCGGAAGAGAUAAGUGCUGAAAGCAUCUAAGCACGAAACUUGCCCCGAGAUGAGUUCUCCCUGACUCCUUGAGAGUCCUGAAGGAACGUUGAAGACGACGACGUUGAUAGGCCGGGUGUGUAAGCGCAGCGAUGCGUUGAGCUAACCGGUACUAAUGAACCGUGAGG
rnacentral:rRNA from 1 species